rnacentral:rRNA from 1 species
AACGAACGCUGGCGGCAUGCCUAACACAUGCAAGUCGAACGAGACCUUCGGGUCUAGUGGCGCACGGGUGCGUAACGCGUGGGAACCUGCCCUUAGGGUCGGAAUAACUCCCCGAAAGGGGUGCUAAUACCGGAUAAUGUCUUCGGACCACAGAUUUAUCGCCUUUGGAUGGGCCCGCGUUGUAUUAGCUAGUUGGUAGGGUAAAUGCCUACCAAGGCGACGAUCCAUAGCUGGUCUCGGAGGAUGAUCGGCCACACUGGGAUGGAGACACGGCCCAGACUACUGCGAGUGGCAGACGUAGCGAAUCCUCGGCAAUAGGAGCAAUCGUGACCGAGCAACGCCGCGUGAGUGAAGAAGGUAUUCGGAUCGUAUAGCUCUGUUGUAAGUUAAGAACGGAAGUGAGAGUGGAAAGUUCACACAGUGACAGUAGCUUACGAGAAAGGGACGGCUAACUACGUG